UGCAGUCGAGCGAUGGAUUAAGAGCUUGCUCUUAUGAAGUUAGCGGCGGACGGGUGAGUAACACGUGGGUAACCUACCCAUAAGACUGGGAUAACUCCGGGAAACCGGGGCUAAUACCGGAUAAUAUUUUGAACUGCAUAGUUCGAAAUUGAAAGGCGGCUUCGGCUGUCACUUAUGGAUGGACCCGCGUCGCAUUAGCUAGUUGGUGAGGUAACGGCUCACCAAGGCGACGAUGCGUAGCCGACCUGAGAGGGUGAUCGGCCACACUGGGACUGAGACACGGCCCAGACUCCUACGGGAGGCAGCAGUAGGGAAUCUUCCGCAAUGGACGAAAGUCUGACGGAGCAACGCCGCGUGAGUGAUGAAGGCUUUCGGGUCGUAAAACUCUGUUGUUAGGGAAGAACAAGUGCUAGUUGAAUAAGCUGGCACCUUGACGGUACCUAACCAGAAAGCCACGGCUAACUACGUGCCAGCAGCCGCGGUAAUACGUAGGUGGCAAGCGUUAUCCGGAAUUAUUGGGCGUAAAGCGCGCGCAGGUGGUUUCUUAAGUCUGAUGUGAAAGCCCACGGCUCAACCGUGGAGGGUCAUUGGAAACUGGGAGACUUGAGUGCAGAAUAGGAAAGUGGAAUUCCAUGUGUAGCGGUGAAAUGCGUAGAGAUAUGGAGGAACACCAGUGGCGAAAGCGACUUUCUGGUCUGUAACUGACACUGAGGCGCGAAAGCGUGGGGAGCAAACAGGAUU
rnacentral:rRNA from 1 species